UACAGAGGGUGCGAGCGUUGUUCGGAAUUAUUGGGCGUAAAGAGCUUGUAGGUGGUUUGUCGUGUCUGCUGUGAAAAUCCGAGGCUCAACCUCGGACUUGCAGCGGGUACGGGCAGACUAGAGUGUGGUAGGGGAGACUGGAAUUCCUGGUGUAGCGGUGAAAUGCGCAGAUAUCAGGAGGAACACCGGUGGCGAAGGCGGGUCUCUGGGCCGAUACUGACGCUGAGGAGCGAAAGCGUGGGGAGCGAACAGG
rnacentral:rRNA from 1 species